rnacentral:rRNA from 1 species
UACGGGGGGAGCAAGCGUUGUUCGGAUUUACUGGGCGUAAAGGGCGCGUAGGCGGCCAGCGCAAGUCAGUUGUGAAAUCUCCGGGCUUAACUCGGAACGGUCAACUGAUACUGCGCGGCUAGAGUGCAGAAGGGGGCAACUGGAAUUCUCGGUGUAGCGGUGAAAUGCGUAGAUAUCGAGAGGAACACCUGCGGCGAAGGCGGGUUGCUGGGGCUGACACUGACGCUGAUGCGCGAAAAGCCAGGGGGGAGCGAACGGGG